rnacentral:rRNA from 1 species
GUGGGGAAUUGUUCACAAUGGGCGCAAGCCUGAUGACGCAACGCCGCGUGGGGGAUGAAGGUCUUCGGAUCGUAAACCCCUGUCGAAUGGGACGAAUAACCUUCGGGUUAAUACCCCGGAGGAAUGACGGUACCGUUAAAGGAAGCCACGGCUAACUCUGUGCCAGCAGCCGCGGUAAUACAGAGGUGGCAAGCGUUGUUCGGAAUUACUGGGCGUAAAGGGCGCGUAGGCGGCCUUCUAAGUCAGACGUGAAAUCCCCCGGCUCAACCUGGGAACUGCGUCUGAUACUGGAGGGCUUGAGUUUGGGAGAGGGAUGUAGAAUUCCAGGUGUAGCGGUGAAAUGCGUAGAUAUCUGGAGGAAUACCGGUGGCGAAGGCGGCAUCCUGGACCAAUACUGACGCUGAGGCGCGAAAGCUAGGGGAGCAAACGGGAUUAGAUACCCCGGUAGUCC